AGUCGAGCGGCAGCGCGGGGCAACCUGGCGGGGAAGCGGCGAACGGGUGAGUAACACAUCGGAACGUACCCAAUCGUGGGGGAUAACUAUCCGAAAGGAUAGCUAAUACCGCAUAAGUCCUGAGGGAGAAAGCAGGGGAUCGCAAGACCUUGCGCGGAUGGAGCGGCCGAUGUCAGAUUAGCUAGUUGGUGGGGUAAAGGCCUACCAAGGCGACGAUCUGUAGCUGGUCUGAGAGGACGACCAGCCACACUGGAACUGAGACACGGUCCAGACUCCUACGGGAGGCAGCAGUGGGGAAUUUUGGACAAUGGGCGCAAGCCUGAUCCAGCCAUUCCGCGUGAGUGAAGAAGGCCUUCGGGUUGUAAAGCUCUUUCGGCAGGGAAGAAACGGUUUAGGCUAAUACCCUGAGCUAAUGACGGUACCUGAAGAAGAAGCACCGGCUAACUACGUGCCAGCAGCCGCGGUAAUACGUAGGGUGCGAGCGUUAAUCGGAAUUACUGGGCGUAAAGCGUGCGCAGGCGGUUUUGUAAGACAGAUGUGAAAUCCCCGGGCUUAACCUGGGAACUGCGUUUUGUGACUGCAAGACUUGAGUACGGCAGAGGGGGGUGGAAUUCCCACGUGUAGCAGUGAAAUGCGUAGAGAUGUGGAGGAACACCGAUGGCGAAAGCAGCCCCCUGGGUCGAUACUGACGCUCAUGCACGAAAGCGUGGGGAGCAAACAGGAUUAGAUACCCUGGUAGUCCACGCCCUAAACGAUGCCAACUAGUGUUGGGGAAGGAGACUUCCUUAGUACCGAAGCUAACGCGUGAAGUUGGCCGCCUGGGGAGUACGGUCGCAAGAUUAAAACUCGAAGGAAUUGACGGGGACCCGCACAGCGGUGGAUGAUGUGGAUUAAUUCGAUGCAACGCGAAAACCUUACCUAC
rnacentral:rRNA from 1 species